UGAUUCGUCACACUAUCAUUAACUGAAUCCAUAGGUUAAUGAGGCGAACCGGGGGAACUGAAACAUCUAAGUACCCCGAGGAAAAGAAAUCAACCGAGAUUCCCCCAGUAGCGGCGAGCGAACGGGGAGGAGCCCAGAGCCUGAAUCAGCAUGUGUGUUAGUGGAAGCGUCUGGAAAGGCGCGCGAUACAGGGUGACAGCCCCGUACACAAAAGCGCAUGUGCUGUGAGCUCGAUGAGUAGGGCGGGACACGUGGUAUCCUGUCUGAAUAUGGGGGGACCAUCCUCCAAGGCUAAAUACUCCUGACUGACCGAUAGUGAACCAGUACCGUGAGGGAAAGGCGAAAAGAACCCCGGCGAGGGGAGUGAAAAAGAACCUGAAACCGUGUACGUACAAGCAGUGGGAGCACCCUUUGGGUGUGACUGCGUACCUUUUGUAUAAUGGGUCAGCGACUUAUAUUCUGUAGCAAGGUUAACCGAAUAGGGGAGCCGGAGGGAAACCGAGUCUUAACCGGGCGUUAAGUUGCAGGGUAUAGACCCGAAACCCGGUGAUCUAGCCAUGGGCAGGUUGAAGGUUGGGUAACACUAACUGGAGGACCGAACCGACUAAUGUUGAAAAAUUAGCGGAUGACCUGUGGCUGGGGGUGAAAGGCCAAUCAAACCGGGAGAUAGCUGGUUCUCCCCGAAAGCUAUUUAGGUAGCGCCUCGUGAAUUCAUCUCCGGGGGUAGAGCACUGUUUCGGCUAGGGGGCCAUCCCGGCUUACCAACCCGAUGCAAACUGCGAAUACCGGAGAAUGUUAUCACGGGAGACACACGGCGGGUGCUAACGUCCGUCGUGAAGAGGGAAACAACCCAGACCGCCAGCUAAGGUCCCAAAGUCAUGGUUAAGUGGGAAACGAUGUGGGAAGGCCCAGACAGCCAGGAUGUUGGCUUAGAAGCAGCCAUCAUUUAAAGAAAGCGUAAUAGCUCACUGGUCGAGUCGGCCUGCGCGGAAGAUGUAACGGGGCUAAACCAUGCACCGAAGCUGCGGCAGCGACACUGUGUGUUGUUGGGUAGGGGAGCGUUCUGUAAGCCUGUGAAGGUGUGUCGUGAGGCAUGCUGGAGGUAUCAGAAGUGCGAAUGCUGACAUAAGUAACGAUAAAGCGGGUGAAAAGCCCGCUCGCCGGAAGACCAAGGGUUCCUGUCCAACGUUAAUCGGGGCAGGGUGAGUCGACCCCUAAGGCGAGGCCGAAAGGCGUAGUCGAUGGGAAACGGGUUAAUAUUCCCGUACUUGGUGUUACUGCGAAGGGGGGACGGAGAAGGCUAUGUUGGCCGGGCGACGGUUGUCCCGGUUUAAGCGUGUAGGUGUGUGUUCCAGGUAAAUCCGGUUCACUUUAACACUGAGGCGUGACGACGAGGCACUACGGUGCUGAAGCAACAAAUGCCCUGCUUCCAGGAAAAGCCUCUAAGCAUCAGGUAACAUCAAAUCGUACCCCAAACCGACACAGGUGGUCAGGUAGAGAAUACCAAGGCGCUUGAGAGAACUCGGGUGAAGGAACUAGGCAAAAUGGUGCCGUAACUUCGGGAGAAGGCACGCUGACACGUAGGUGAAGUGAUUUACUCAUGGAGCUGAAGUCAGUCGAAGAUACCAGCUGGCUGCAACUGUUUAUUAAAAACACAGCACUGUGCAAACACGAAAGUGGACGUAUACGGUGUGACGCCUGCCCGGUGCCGGAAGGUUAAUUGAUGGGGUCAGCGCAAGCGAAGCUCCUGAUCGAAGCCCCGGUAAACGGCGGCCGUAACUAUAACGGUCCUAAGGUAGCGAAAUUCCUUGUCGGGUAAGUUCCGACCUGCACGAAUGGCGUAAUGAUGGCCAGGCUGUCUCCACCCGAGACUCAGUGAAAUUGAACUCGCUGUGAAGAUGCAGUGUACCCGCGGCAAGACGGAAAGACCCCGUGAACCUUUACUAUAGCUUGACACUGAACAUUGAGCCUUGAUGUGUAGGAUAGGUGGGAGGCUUUGAAGUGUGGACGCCAGUCUGCAUGGAGCCGACCUUGAAAUACCACCCUUUAAUGUUUGAUGUUCUAACGUGGACCCGUUACCCGGGUUGCGGACAGUGUCUGGUGGGUAGUUUGACUGGGGCGGUCUCCUCCUAAAGAGUAACGGAGGAGCACGAAGGUUGGCUAAUCCUGGUCGGACAUCAGGAGGUUAGUGCAAUGGCAUAAGCCAGCUUGACUGCGAGCGUGACGGCGCGAGCAGGUGCGAAAGCAGGUCAUAGUGAUCCGGUGGUUCUGAAUGGAAGGGCCAUCGCUCAACGGAUAAAAGGUACUCCGGGGAUAACAGGCUGAUACCGCCCAAGAGUUCAUAUCGACGGCGGUGUUUGGCACCUCGAUGUCGGCUCAUCACAUCCUGGGGCUGAAGUAGGUCCCAAGGGUAUGGCUGUUCGCCAUUUAAAGUGGUACGCGAGCUGGGUUUAGAACGUCGUGAGACAGUUCGGUCCCUAUCUGCCGUGGGCGCUGGAGAACUGAGGGGGGCUGCUCCUAGUACGAGAGGACCGGAGUGGACGCAUCACUGGUGUUCGGGUUGUCAUGCCAAUGGCACUGCCCGGUAGCUAAAUGCGGAAGAGAUAAGUGCUGAAAGCAUCUAAGCACGAAACUUGCCCCGA
rnacentral:rRNA from 2 species